rnacentral:rRNA from 1 species
UGAGCUGGCGGCNGGCUACACAUGCAAGUCGAGCGGUAGCACAGAGAGCUUGCUCUCGGGUGACGAGCGGCGGACGGGUGAGUAAUGUCUGGGAAACUGCCUGAUGGAGGGGGAUAACUACUGGAAACGGUAGCUAAUACCGCAUAACGUCGCAAGACCAAAGUGGGGGACCUUCGGGCCUCNAGUGCCUAUCAGUAUGUGCCCAGAUGGGAUUAGCUAGUAGGUGGGGUAAUGGCUCACCUAGGCGACGAUCCCUAGCUGGUCUGAGAGGAUGACCAGCCACACUGGAACUGAGACACGGUCCAGACUCCUACGGGAGGCAGCAGUGGGGAAUAUUGCACAAUGGGCGCAAGCCUGAUGCAGCCAUGCCGCGUGUAUGAAGAAGGCCUUCGGGUUGUAAAGUACUUUCAGCGAGGAGGAAGGCGUUAAGGUUAAUAACCUUAGUGAUUGACGUUACUCGCAGAAGAAGCACCGGCUAACUCCGUGCCAGCAGCCGCGGUAAUACGGAGGGUGCAAGCGUUAAUCGGAACUUACUGGGCGUACAAGCGCACUGCAGGCGGUCUGUUCAACGUCAGAUGUGAACAUCCCCGGGCUCAAACCUGGGAACUGCACUUU